rnacentral:lncRNA from 1 species
AGCCUCCCUUCCGUCCUACUCAACUCACAUACCGACGUUGUCCCUUCCGAGCAUCACAAGUGGGCCCACCCACCUUUCUCCGCCCACUUAGAUCCCGCUAGCGGCAACAUCUACGCCCGGGGUUCUCAGGACAUGAAGUGCGUGGGCUUGCAGUACCUGGAGGCCAUUCGCAAGCUCAAGGCUUCUGGCUUCCAACCAACGCGCACUGUCUACCUCUCCUUCGUCCCCGACGAGGAAAUCGGCGGAGACGAUGGUGCCGGAAAGUUUGUCGAUUCCGAUGUCUUCGUGAAGAUGAAUGUUGGGAUUGUACUUGACGAGGGCUUGCCUUCUCCCACCGAAAACUAUCGUGCAUUCUAUGGGGAGAGGUCCCCCUGGUGGCUGGUCGUUAAAGCUGUAGGUGCUCCUGGACACGGGGCUAAGCUCUAUGAUAAUACUGCCACGGAGAAUCUACUUAAAAGCAUCGAAACUAUAAGGAGAUUCAGGGCUGCGCAGUUCGAUUUAGUUAAGGCGGGAUUGAAAGCUGAAGGCGAGGUCAUUUCUGUUAAUAUGGUCUUCUUGAAAGCUGGCACCCCUUCUCCCUCUGUAAGUCAGGCUAUUCUGACCUUUUUUUAUGUUAAAAGAAAACUUGAAUUUUGCGCUUCCCUUCGUGAUAUUUUGUAGCAAUGAGAACUUUGUGGCUCAUCUAGUCCUCCCUGUAGUAUUCCUUGUCUGACGAAUUCUUGGAGUCUUUGAUUGAGCUUAAUCAUUCGUUGCCAUCAAGUGCUGUAGUAGUAACCUUAUGCACUAAUUUAUGGUUUUUACAAAUUCUGUAAAGUAUAAUUUUUUCUGAGAGAAGAGCUUAGAUGCUUUUCAUAAAGUAACAAAAGAGCUUAAAUGUUACUGUAGUUUAGUGAAUGGAGAUAAAUUUGACUAUUGGAGUAUAUGAAUUGGAACAUUUCAUUACGCAGUUCAUCUUAAUAUGCUUUUUUCUGCUGUUCCUGAGGUUCAAUCUAACAAACAUUUGGAGAGCGAUUGAUAGAAGAUUUAGGGUGUUUUCCGCAUAUAUUCCUCUUUAUUCGGCGGAACAACCCUUUCUUGUCAAACAGUAGCGCCCUUAUUCAUGCAGUUGAGAUAAGUUUAAGACAUGGACUUCUUUAUUUCUGUGGCAGGGUUUUGUCAUGAACCUGCAGCCAUCUGAAGCCCAAGCAGGAUUUGACAUCAGAGUACCGCCAACUGCAGAUCAAGCAUCCUUGGAGAAGAGAAUAGCUGAGG